rfam:Tortispora caseinolytica NRRL Y-17796 unplaced genomic scaffold CANCAscaffold_1, whole genome shotgun sequence.
GCCUCCUUGGCUCAGUGGUAGUAGCGUCGCACUUGUAAUGCGAAGGUCAGUGGUUCAAAUCCGCUAGGAGGCA